UACGUAGGGUGCGAGCGUUGUCCGGAAUUAUUGGGCGUAAAGAGCUUGUAGGCGGUUUGUCGCGUCUGCUGUGAAAAUCCGGGGCUCAACCCCGGACUUGCAGUGGGUACGGGCAGACUAGAGUCAGGUAGGGGAGAACGGAAUUCCUGGUGUAGCGGUGAAAUGCGCAGAUAUCAGGAGGAACACCGGUGGCGAAGGCGGUUCUCUGGGCCUGUACUGACGCUGAGGAACGAAAGCGUGGGGAGCGAACAGG
rnacentral:rRNA from 1 species